UCCGUCAGCAGUCAGGUCAAUUUACAAGUUUCAAGAUCAUUCUCAGAACACACUGACAAGAUGCUGGGGACUCUCUGCAGUCUCAUCACUGCUCUAACAUGUGUGAGUGGAGCAACUGUGGUGACACAGACGCCUCCUGUUGUGACAGUGAGGAAAGGAGAGACAGCCACCAUGGACUGUAACCUGGGGAGUGUUACUAACAGCAGUGCCCGAUGGUACAGACAGAUCCCAGGAGAAGUUCCUCUAUAUAUGCUUAGAGUUCGUCAUGACUGGAGUGCACCCAAAUAUGACACUGGGUUCCCCUCUUCAAGACACACAGGAACUCAUCAGUCAACAUCAGAUUAUCGUUUGCAUAUCAGCAGUGUGGAGGAAGGAGAUUCUGCAGUUUAUUACUGUUGUACAUGGGAUGGCUCUGCUAAAGAGUACGUAUCACAGUGAUUCACACUGUGACAAAAACCUCCUCAUUAACACUUCUGCUUUUGCUCUCACUGAGACGCAUGAACUGACAAUGUAGCCACCAGCAAGAGUUUCAGUCAACACAUCGUUAUUUGUCAGUAUUUACACUUUAAUCUUUUUUCUGUAAAUGAAUAAAACUAGCAGAUAUUACAAUUUGUUUACAAUAAGGUUAACACCAAUUACCCUUGUUU